rnacentral:rRNA from 1 species
CCUACGGGAGGCAGCAGUGAGGAAUAUUGGUCAAUGGCCGGAAGGCUGAACCAGCCAAGCCGCGUGAAGGACGAAGGUGCCAAGCAUUGUAAACUUCUUUUGUCAAGGGACAAAAUCAGGCUCGAGAGCCUGACCGAGGGUACUUGAAGAACAAGCCCCGGCUAACUACGUGCCAGCAGCCGCGGUAAAACGUAGGGGGCGAGCGUUGUCCGGAAUGACUGGGCGUAAAGGGUGCGUAGGCGGCAUAAUAAGUUAGAAGUGAAAUACCCAGAGCUUAACUCGGGUGCUGCUUCUAAGACUGUUGAGCUUGAGUGCGGGAGAGGGUAAUGGAAUUCCUAGUGUAGCGGUGGAAUGCGUAGAUAUUAGGAGGAACACCAGAGGCGAAGGCGAUUAACUGGACCGUAACUGACGCUGAGGCACGAAAGUGUGGGUAGCAAACAGGAUUAGAUACCCCUGUAGUC